rnacentral:rRNA from 1 species
CUACGGGUUGCUGCAGUGGGGAAUAUUGCACAAUGGGCGCAAGCCUGAUGCAGCAACGCCGCGUGAGGGCUGAAGGCCUUCGGGUUGUAAACCUCUUUUAGCAGGGAAGAAGCGAAAGUGACGGUACCUGCAGAAAAAGCACCGGCUAACUACGUGCCAGCAGCCGCGGUAAUACGUAGGGUGCAAGCGUUGUCCGGAAUUAUUGGGCGUAAAGAGCUCGUAGGCGGUUUGUCACGUCUGCUGUGAAAAUCCAAGGCUCAACAUUGGACUUGCAGUGGGUACGGGCAGGCUAGAGUGCGGUAGGGGAGAUGGGAAUUCCUGGUGUAUCGGUGGAAGGCGCAGAUAUCAGGAGGAACACCACUGGCGAAGGCACAUCUCUGGGCCGUAACUGACGCUGAGGAGCGAAAGCGUGGGGAGCGAACAGGAUUAGAUACCCCAGUAGUC